GGCCCGGUGGUGGAUGGUCCGCACCUGCAAACUGUGCACAUUUUUCUCCAGUUCGUAUAUAAGCAGGAUAUGCUCGUUCGAAUCGAGCCCGGGCCA